rnacentral:lncRNA from 1 species
AUGAGUGAGAUUAUGAGCUUCAUGAUUGAAGGAUUUGUUACGGCGGAGGUAGCGUGCUGUGGGCAUGAACAAUACAAUGAAAUUGGAGUAUCCAAAUCGGUUUGAAUUUGUGUCCAAGCAGAGAUAUAUACGCGUUCUGGGAUCCUUUUUGGGAGGCUCAUAGUGGUAAAAAUUCUUCAUCCACUAAAUGCAAAAGUAUUCCAACAUCAAGUGACCUUGUGCCCUCAAAUAAUUAUGUAAAAGUACCUACUUAUGGAACUGAGAUAUUGGAAAUUGAUGCCAAGCUGCUGAAAUUCUUAUAGAGAUGUUGAGUAAACGAUACUGUAAUGACCGGAAACACUUAAUGUCAAAAGAAUGGAUGUAGGCUUUACGUUUACAUUUCGGAUGGGUCACUUUGUUUGUCCGAAAUGUUUAAGAAAGAUGAUUUCAGGAUUAUGAUUAUAGUCAUUUUAACUAUCAUAAGAAAGUUUAUGUCAAACUAUUAUUUCUCUGCACCACCGUCCUCACUUACUUAACUCUUAGGAAGACGACCUUUAGAGGAACCGAGGUAACAGUUGCACGAAUGGCAUAUUUUCCUUUUUUAUUUUGAUCACUUUGUUUUAAAUAGAUGUGGUUUUUAAGUGGGAGUUAAUGUUUUUUUUCUAUAGACAUUGUUGUCGAAUUAGAUAUCUCAUCAUUGAAGAAAAGUUCAAGUGAACCUAUAUUCAAGCGACCGCGCGCGUCUCCAAACACCAUCGCCAUUACCGAAAUUUAAGAAGGGACUCGAUUUACUAAGAGAAAUGUUUUGGCAAUUCGAAGGAUAUGCAUUUUAAAGGGAUUCGACUGUCUUUAAUUGUAUUUCCACUUUGUCACUAAUUCAUGCAACAUACCACUUUGUAUUUUUUUUAUUUGCAUACUUAAUAUUUACCUAAUUAAUUUUUCCCAGCCCGGGAAGCAAUCCCGGGUGAUAACCUAGUGUAUCAUAUAUAUAUACAUAUUAAUAAUAUAAAAUAAAUUAUAUCGGGUAUAUAAUAGGGUA